rnacentral:antisense_RNA from 1 species
GGUGUUUGCAGUAAUAGCUUACUGCGUUCAGUGAUGUCGCCACCAAUGUGGUAUGGAAGACCACAGUUUGCAAAGGACACGAAAGGGCCACGUUCGAACAUAAUGAUCUGUGCAUCUUCGCUCAGACGUCGAGCACGUGCGGCUGCAGAAGCGCCUCCAGCAACGCCAC